UACAGAGGGUGCGAGCGUUUAAUCGGAAUUACUGGGCGUAAAGCGCACGUAGUCGGCUUUGCAAGUCGGGUGUGAAAUCCCCGGGCUCAACCUGGGAACUGCAUCCGAGACUGCAUUGCUAGAGUAUGGGAGAGGGAGGCGGAAUUUCUGGUGUAGCAGUGAAAUGCGUAGAUAUCAGAAGGAACAUCAGUGGCGAAGGCGGCUUCCUG
rnacentral:rRNA from 1 species